AUGGGCCUCUUCAUCUCAGUAUCACAUCCUGCUGGUUCAGAAUUGAUCUGAGAGUGCUCUGAAAGUUUUCUGAGCAUCUCAUUGCCAGGGAUUUUUAUGAUCUGCAAGGUGCAGGCACAUUUCUACUACCACAGUACAGAAUGGAGGCAGAGAGAGCCACAGCACGCUCAGACUCUUUCCUCCUCAUAUUUCAUUUCAAAAUCUCUCUCGUUUAACCACUGGGCUGGAAAGGAGGAAGGUUUGUGACAUUUUUCAGGCCCAGGUAAGACAGCAGAAAAAAUUCAUUACAGAAUUACAGAAUCAUCAAGGCUAAAAGAGACCUACGAGGUCAUCUAAUCCAGCUGUCAGCCUCAUACUACCAUAAUCACUCUGAUAUCAUAUCCUAAACCACAUAAUUCUAAACAAGGAGAAUUCCCAAUGAACAGUGUUGGCAUUACACUUUUUACAGGACUCAGCAUCUGACACAUAUUCAAUGGGACUGUUGUGUCUCUUGUGUUUCUGCUACUUUUUUCCCCAUAUUUUCUUCUUUAAAAGUAUUAGAAUACGUAUUUGGAAACAGACCCAUAGCUUAGCUCCAUUGGCUUCAAUAAAGCUGUGCUUAUUUCUACCAUGUAAAAUUCUGCCUUUAAAUUUCAGAGGAUAUAAGAAAAUGCCCUAAAAGAGCUCUAGACUGUACAGUCCACUGAUUCUCCUCCGUCUUCAAUUCCCUUUGCCCCAAGCUAUUACCUCAAUCUAAUUUUUAUUUUCCUUUCCCUAGUGACUGGUUUACAUCUCAAGUACUUAGAACAAAGAGUAUUGUUUUGAUCUGUGCUUAAGGCAGCAUGUUCUGGAAGUCACUUGCAUCAUAGUUAGCAUUCUGUCUUUUUUUUUUUUUAAAUAAAGACAAUUCUUACCUGUUACAACACUACAGAGAGCCUUUUUUUUUUUUUUUUUAUAGACACAAUAGCAACAUGCAAAUAUUCUAGUUGUUAGAACAUGCAACCUAAAAACUAGGCUCAUUUUCAAACCACAUGCUCCAAUUAAUAAAUAAAGUCUAUUAGUACUGACCUAUUGAUCAAGCAUAAGAAUCAGGGAUUCCAGCAUCAUCUCUUUGUCUGCAGGCUGCUACCUCCACCAGUCCUUAUAAGUUAACAUUUGAAUUGGAAUUAGCCCUUGUAAUUACAUUUAUAUUAAUAGAAUUAGAAGGCAAACGCUCUUCUGAGUUUUAUCUUUGAGUGAUAAACUGAAUUCUCACUUCAAUCUAUUGCGCUUGCACAGAGAUUUACUGUAUGUGAACCUCACAGUAAUUUUGAGAUUGAAACUUGGGCAAUUCUAGGGACAGACAAGAUCAAGAGACAGGUUUGUCUGUUCUCAGGUGGCUGUACCCCACAAAGCUUUUCCUUUUCCAAACCCUUAUUGGUUGUUCUUAGCAGCCCUUUCUGUAACCCAGUCCUUGCAUCAACUGCUUAGUGUGUACAGAAAUGUUUAUAUCCCUUGAGCUCCAGCUUCCUUUAGUUUCUCUUCAUUUCCCUUUCUUAGAGCCUGUCCAUUUGUUCUUGUAUUUGACACUAGUUUUCUGACAUCUCUCCUAGCUAUUCCCCUUAGAAUCAUGUAUAAAAUAAUGAUGUCCACCCUGAGCUUUCCUCUCUUCAAAAAGCACUGACCUAGUUUCUCUGCUUUUACAGUAGAAGUUCUCCAGUCCCAUGUCAACGAGGUUGCCCUGACAUAUCUUAGCUCUGAUAGUUAUCUCUCUUUUAAUAAUGGCAUCCUGAAUGGGGAUUAUUUCCUCUAAAUGCAUCUUCAUCUGUUCCCUGUAGACUAUUUCCUUUUGAGUUACUUCUGAUUGAUCUGUUUUUGGUGGUAGGGCUACGCAAAGAUAGCUCUGAUCUUUCUAUCCAGGGCCUGACCACAGGUGAUGAUUCCUGUGGACUUUGGCCAGAAUUGGAGCCUUUGAUAAUAUAUUCCCCAAACCCGUAUAAAACACAAUGAAAAAAGCCAUAGUUUAAAUUGCUCUUUCUUAUUAUUAAUGGAGCAGAUCCUCAGCAAGAGUAGUGGGUCACUUAAGUCCUUGGAUGUGUGCAGAGAUGACAAUAUUGCCUAGUAGUUACAGAAUUGUUAUUUUUGUACGGCACCACUCACUUAUUUUCCUUCUUUUGCACUACAUUCUUUCUUUUCAUUAUGUCCAAACUAACCCUUUUUCCUAAGGACCUGACCCUCCAUCAUCAAAGUGAGGGGGAGAUUUCACCUAGGCUUCUGCAGGAACAUCAUGAAGGCCUGGCUUUUACUUUGGGUAAGUUUUUAGCAUGCUUUGUUUUCUCUCUUUAUUUUCAAAUUCACUGCCCACUCCCUUUCAUUCCUCUACCCCACUUAUUUUUUAUAUUUAUGCUCCAUUUUUUUUUUUUAACCUUCCUCAUUGACCUCUGACUGACAAAGUGCUCACGGGUUGCAGAAACUUCCCCUCGUCACUCACUGUGAUGCUGCUGCAGGAACUGGAGCCACUCUGCUGUCCCUGCAGCCUGGCAGCCUUUGGCUACAGCUGCCUGCCUUUGGAUGGAUGUUUGGCAUGGUCCCACCACACGAUGCUGAAGCAGGAACUCCAGUGCCUUGGGUCUCUUCAGGGUCUGCCUGCUGAUCUGAGCUGGGAUGGGCUGUAUGUGAGACUGCUCUGGUUUAUGUUUUUGAGCUAUCCAGAACGGGGAUUAAGCUCUCUUUGCAGCCCGGUCCCAGCAGCUUUCCGGAGGGAACAUCCUCCCCAGACAGGCUGCACGCUGCUAAUUACAGGGGAAAUCCUGGCAGCGUCAGAGUCGGUGCCAAAACCUCCCUGAUUGCGGCGAUGCCGGGAUCUCACCAGAUGUCUGGAUUGUUUAUCCAUCUGGGGGUUUCUUGCCCGGGCUGUUUGCUGGCUGGCCUUGACCUUCCUGGGGAGCCAGGGCUCCUCUUCCACCCCCGCAGGAGAAGGGCUGCCUCUGACGCAGCCCCGGCCCCCAGCCCCAUCCCUGCCUGACACAUCCUUGGCGUUCUCAGCGCUGCAGCCAGAGAGGAAGAGAAGUGUCUCAUCCGGCUGUGGCUGUCCUUGCCUUUCCGCUGCUGUCACCCAGACCUGGCACUGGGCUCCCCAGAGACCAUCUGCCUCCAGCUCCCGAGGGAGCGCUGCUCCACGGAGAGCCCAGACACACAGACCUGCGUGGAGAAGAUGGUGUGAGCCCCAAGGAGCCUAGCUGCUAAGGAGAGACAGGAAUAUGCAAGUAAUUUAAUUUCUCAUGCAAAACUCUGCUAGGAACUACUAGACUUUCCAAAAAUGUAUUCCAAAGAAAUGCAGAGAUAGAUUCCCGACCGGCAUUAAUCAGUGCUGAUUAAGUCAUGGAGCUACCCAAUUUCUGCCUGCUUCCUUUCCUCUCUGCAGAGCCAGGUACAUUGGAAAUACUGCCUGAGGUCAGCAAGAGGCUCCUCCUCCCCUGCAGUGAGCUCCCACUCCAGCCUGAGCAUCCCUUUCUGUGGACCACCUCCACCACGAGACAGCAACCCCAAAGAGCUUCACCUGAUCUCCCAAAUGGGGCUCUCUGGGGACAAUCAGCCCUGGCAUCUCAGGAAAAGGUCUCCUUGAUGCAGGAUGGAGCAGCAAGUUAGAACACCAAGUACCUCAGGCUGUAAUUAAAUUCUAAGAUCACCACUGCCCUAGUGAAUAGACACUAUUUUAUACACAUAUUUAGAAAGAUAAAUAAAUAAACAGGUAGACAGAAAAACAGAAAAAGAAGAUCAUAGAUGGAGAGAUAGGUAGAUUAGAAAUAGAAUUAAAUUUGCACUUAUUUUCCUGUGUGAUGAAAUCACACAGUGACUAAAAAACUAUUUUCUAAAAUUUAAGGUAAAAAAUUAACUCUGUCAAGAAGCAAGGAACUCAGUCUUGGCAAUGGAAAUUGCAAAGAACCCCAAAUCCCACAUAACAGUUAUCUGACAUCAUACAGCAACUGCACAUGGUAGUAAUGGCAAUGGGGCCCCUAUUAACUAGAGAAAACCCUGAUGAAAUCAGUCAAUCCUGCAAAAAUAGCAAGUGCUAGCCCUCAUGCCAAUGAACCAAGCACAUGGCAGCAUGACUGGAAAGGACCAGCAAAUGCUUUGCAAGCUCACCAAGGUGGCCCAGGCACUGGGUCAAGAGUCUGAGCUAAGAGCUAAAGAGAGCAUGACCAUCCCUGAAUUCCUGCCCUGUGGCAGUGCCCAGCACAGCUGGAGAGUGCCAGAGCCUCACAAGGCAGCUUUAACUGCUGCCAGUUGGACUUUCCUUAGGAACACUCUCAGAGUCCAGUCCUCUGGAGCACAGUUUGUGUUGGCUUCCCUCUCCCCAAGGCCCUGACUCAGGAAAUGGAGCAGGCACCAGGCAGGCUCCACACACACACUGGGUGUCUGCAGAGAAACAUGGAGCUUCUGGGCACAGGGAGCUUCCCUGGCUCCUUUUGGAAGCCUUGCAUUCAUUUACAAAGUCAUAAUUACACUGGACAAGCAACAACCAUUAGGGUUAACUAAUAAUUUGUUCCUAUCACCUUGUCCUUUUGUAAAGUCUAACAAACUUAAUUUACAUCCUUACAUAUCCAAGCAACAGAUUUCUACUUAGAGUAAACCAUGGUUUCUACCUUCUAAGCAACAAGAACACGUGCAUUACUUGAUUUAGGGGUUUUUUGCUAAUCCUAGAUUAUCUUCCAGGUCUUGAGAGCUGUUACAAAAUUCAGAUGAAGACUUCAGAACUCACCCACAAAGCCACUGGUCCCCUGCCUCCAGGACACUAGAGAUGCUUUUCUCACCUUCCUGGAUUCCACGUGCAGAGCUCCAGGUGCAUCACUGUGGCUCUGAGUUUGAGGUGCAGAGCACUUCUGUGGACAAGUGGUGUCAUUCAGCAAAGCCUGCAGCAAAACCGUGGAAAGUUUUCAUUGACUUCUGCACAAUUCAGCAUUUGCUUUGCACUGAUGAAUGAAGCAAAUAUUCAGCUGAUUACUUCAUGCAGCUUCUACUCCCAACAUUAAACCAUUGCUUCAUUCUCUAUUCCUGUGCCCUUACCAAAUAGUAGUAGAUUAUUUUAUGGGAUAACCUCAUUUUCCUUCCCUUCUUCUGGUGCCUUUCUAAGGCAGACCUGGAGUUGGCAGAACAAAAACCAGGAACAACCAAUGAGCUAGACCUCGUUAGAGCAAUAAGGGAUUUCAGGCUCCUUCCUCAUCCCAAGUGGCUUUGGCAGUUUCCUUUUAUUCUUUAACAUUGUUUGCAUUAUUUACACAGCUGCUCCAUAACUUUUUCUUGUUAUAUGUUUAUUUCUUCCUAUUUUUUUUUAAUUUUAAGCUUCUCUCUUUAGAAUUUAGAGCAGCAUAUAUUUAUUUUUACCACUUCAAAAAAUAAUUUGCUUGUAAUUAAACCCACAAAUCUAAUAGUGCCUAAAUGUAAGAGUGACCUGUGUUUAUGAGGGGGACACAGGGGCUGGUUUUGAAAGCUGAACCGCAUCAUUUCACGAUCCACAAUCAGCUUUUAGGGGUUUUCUAUUAUUAUUAUUAUUAUUACAAGGACCAGGUGUCUGAAAAGGUAUCGUUUUUCUCACCAGCUUGUGCUAGAUGUUUUAAAAAGGUAUUAAUGCAGCUGUACAGGUUAUAGCUGGGUGUGUGACUGCCCGCUGGAUUUACACGCGCAAUUACCCCAAGAGCACACAACCCUCCGAGACUCACACAUGCAAAAAGCCUCUUGGCUGGAAAACUCUUGGCAUGGAUGCUCCAUUUCCAUAUGCAGUCACACUGAAUAUGCACAUACAUUAGGGGCAGGAGCACACAUACGUUUUUCAAACUGGAGGCCUUGGUGUGAACCUAAAGAAGAAAAGACAAAUGCUGCGGAAAAGGGGUUUAGGUCAAAUUCACUGAGCAAGGAUGAAUCUGCUGGGUUGUACUCAUGUCCCUUGUACCAAUGUACAUCAUUUUCUGCAAUUAAAUAUGCAAAAAGCUGUGGAUUUUUUUCCUUUAUGCCUUUACAUCUUUUGAAAAAUUAUAAUCUUUAAAUUUCCCUUUCUGAUUCUAAUAGACGAAAACCAGCCCAAUGUAAAUUUUUGCCCGAAAGAGACAAAUCAACAGAAAAAAAAAAGUGUUUCUGAGUAUUAACAUGUUUGAAAAUCAGGCAACCAAAGACUGUAAACAUAGACUUAGGUGUCUGAAUUUAGGCACCUAUUUUUUAAAACCUUGGCUUUGAAAAUAAAGUAUCUGAAUGUAUAUAGAAAACAUAAAUCACCAGUCACUUUUAUUACAUGUAUGUUUAUAUAAAGACCUUAGAACACAUUUUUAAAAUGUAAACGUUCCUUAGUAUGUUUAACUAUGUGUCUAAAGAAGAUGUAGGACAGAAAGAAAACAAAAUUUGACAAAUGUUUCUGAUCAAUCCUAAAGAAAUCAAUAGGAAUUCACUCACAGCAUGAUUUCAUUUAACUUUCCAUGGUAGGAAUAGUAACCUGGCUUUCUGUUAAAGCAAAAGCAUUCGUACUUCUCAGCGAUUUAAUUCUCAUGUCAACAUGUAUCAGGCAGGCAGAGAAUGGUUUGGAGACUGGGAGGGGAAGGAGGAAUGGAUGGAAACACAGGGAAAUUGUGUGGACUGAGCUGUGUGGUUGGGUGACUUCAUUUCACCAAAACUAGUUUUUAAUAAAAAACGGAGUUUUCAUUGAGAUGCAUAUUUCCCUUCCCCUCUGAAGAGGCAGAAAGUGUCUGUUUCUCAAACCAUCUUUUAAUGUUUAGUUGAAAAAUAUCUAACACCCGAGAAUUGGAACAGCUUAGUAGGGAAAAGAGAGAAAAGCCAUUGAAUCCCGAGUACUGCAUCAGCUCCUUGGUGGGAGCCACAGCCUGGGGUGUCUGCCAUCCCUGCAAACACACACCCCACAACACCCAGGAGCUGGGUAUCUCCACCAUGCACACUCUCAGUGUGCCACUGCAACACAAAAAGGAGAGGGGACAAGCCCAGACAAUGAGAAAAUGAAGACAGGCAGCUACAGCUCUUGUGAAUGAACUUGGGGUGGUUUUUUUUGGCCAAAAGGGAAGUAUUUUGGCCCAUAAUUCAAAUAUCACAACAGAGAAUUUUGGUUUGGAAAUGUCAUCAGGUUGGGGUUUUUUUUCCAAAAAUCAGACUUGAGUGAAGAAAGCCUCUGCUUUCCACCUUCCCAAGCAAGGCAAAACUAUUGGCACUACAAGCUCCUAUA